CCCUUAGAUGUCCGGGGCUGCACGCGCGCUACACUGAUGCAUUCAACGAGCCUAUCCUUGACCGACAGGUCCGGGUAAUCUUUGAAUCUGCAUCGUGACGGGGAUAGAUUAUUGCAAUUAUUAAUCUUCAACGAGGAAUGCCUAGUAGGCGCAAGUCAUCAGCUUGCGUCGAUUACGUCCCUGCCCUUUGUACACACCGCCCGUCGCUCCUACCGAUUGGGUGUGCUGGUGAAAUGUUCGGAUCGGCCGUUUGUCGCGGUUUCCGCGUCAUGUGGCUGAGAAGUUCAUUAAACCCUCCCACCUAGAGGAAGGAGAAGUCGUAACA
rnacentral:rRNA from 1 species